AGCAUCUUGACCUUCCACUGAAAGAGAUUGUGUUGAGGGUUAAGGAAGUCAGAGGACCACUGCCAUGUAGAAGAACCCUGCCUAACUGACAUCCAGAACUCGGAGCGGCUCCAGCAGAAGAUGUGAUAGCCUUGACCUGCUUCUACCAGGCCUUGCCUUGUGUCCUGGCUUUAAGAGGUUGUGCACAACUGACACUGUCCACAGC
rnacentral:lncRNA from 1 species